UGAUCNNGGCUCAGGGACGAACGCUGGCGNGCGUGCUUAACACAUGCAAGUCGAGCGGUAAGGCCCUUCGGGGGUACACGAGCGGCGAACGGGUGAGUAACACGUGGGUAACNUGCCCUGUACUNUGGGAUAAGCCUGGGAAACUAGGUCUAAUACCGGAUAUGACUCCNCUAGGCAUNUGGUGGGGUGGAAAGUUCCGGCGGUACAGGAUGGACCCGCGGCCUAUCAGCUUGUUGGUGGGGUAAUGGCCUACCAAGGCGACGACGGGUAGCCGGCCUGAGAGGGUGACCGGCCACACUGGGACUGAGACACGGCCCAGACUCCUACGGGAGGCAGCAGUGGGGAAUAUUGCACAAUGGGCGAAAGCCUGAUGCAGCGACGCCGCGUGAGGGAUGACGGCCUUCGGGUUGUAAACCUCUUUCAGCGGGGACGAAGGGCAACUGACGGUACCCGCAGAAGAAGCACCGGCUAACUACGUGCCAGCAGCCGCGGUAAUACGUAGGGUGCGAGCGUUGUCCGGAAUUAUUGGGCGUAAAGAGCUCGUAGGCGGUUUGUUGCGUCGGCUGUGAAAACUUCACGCUUAACGUGGAGCCUGCAGUCGAUACGGGCAGACUUGAGUUCGGCAGGGGAGACUGGAAUUCCUGGUGUAGCGGUGAAAUGCGCAGAUAUCAGGAGGAACACCGGUGGCGAAGGCGGGUNUCUGGGCCGAUA
rnacentral:rRNA from 1 species